rnacentral:sRNA from 12 species
GAUUGUUGCGAUUAAGGUUGUAACAACAUGACUUGGAUUAAUUCAAGAGAGCUUAAUUCCUUCACUUGGGCAACAGGUGUAAACACAUAAAUAAUG